rnacentral:tRNA from 1 species
CGCAGGGUGGAGCAGUAGUAGCUUACAGGUCUCUUUAGCCUGUGGUCGUAGGUGCAAUUCCUACCCCUGCAA